UCACUUCCUUUCUACACAAUAUAUUCCCUCUUAACUUUAUAUAUGCAUAUAUGGUGCCUAAACCCUUAAGUCCCAUAGUCAAUCAACUCUUUCUGGUGCUGUGUUUUGUUAUUUUCCUCAGAAUAUGAACGAUCCCAAGUAUGGUUAUCCGUAUCCUCCUCCAGGUGCUUAUCAAGGGCCUCCUCCAGUGAUGGCUCCUCCUCAGUAUUAUGCAGCUCCUCCACCCCAACCACAGAGAGAAGUAGGAUUUCUUGAGGGAUGCCUUGCAGCUUUAUGUUGCUGUUGUCUCUUGGACGAGUGUUGCUGUGAUCCCUCAGUUGUAUUUGUUACCUAAUGCAUGCCUCUUAUCGUUUGAUUUACUGCAGAAAGUCUCACAUCAGCUGAUCACCAGUUUUUAUUAGUAAUUUUUUUGUUUUUUAAAUGAACAAAGUUGUAUUUUGUUUGAUUCAAUAAAAUUGUAUCUGUUGUUAGAAAUC